AGUGAACGCUGGUGGUAGGCCUAACACAUGCAAGUCGAACGGCAGCACAGUAAGAGCUUGCUCUUACGGGUGGCGAGUGGCGGACGGGUGAGGAAUACAUCGGAAUCUACUUUUUCGUGGGGGAUAACGUAGGGAAACUUACGCUAAUACCGCAUACGACCUACGGGUGAAAGCAGGGGAUCUUCGGACCUUGCGCGAUUGAAUGAGCCGAUGUCGGAUUAGCUAGUUGGCGGGGUAAAGGCCCACCAAGGCGACGAUCCGUAGCUGGUCUGAGAGGAUGAUCAGCCACACUGGAACUGAGACACGGUCCAGACUCCUACGGGAGGCAGCAGUGGGGAAUAUUGGACAAUGGGCGCAAGCCUGAUCCAGCCAUACCGCGUGGGUGAAGAAGGCCUUCGGGUUGUAAAGCCCUUUUGUUGGGAAAGAAAAGCAGCAGGUUAAUACCCCGCUGUUCUGACGGUACCCAAAGAAUAAGCACCGGCUAACUUCG
rnacentral:rRNA from 1 species